rnacentral:rRNA from 1 species
CAGUAGCCGCGGUAAUACGUAGGUGGCAAGCGUUGUCCGGAAUUAUUGGGCGUAAAGGGUGCGUAGGCGGUUUGGCAAGUCUUGUGUGAAAUCUUCGGGCUCAACCCGAAGCCUGCACGAGAAACUACCGGGCUUGAGUAUUGGAGAGGUGAGUGGAAUUUCCGGUGUAGCGGUGAAAUGCGUAGAUAUCGGAAGGAACACCUGUGGCGAAAGCGGCUCACUGGACAAUAACUGACGCUGAUGCACGAAAGCUAGGGGAGCAAACAGGAUUAGAUACCCGCGUAGUCCCUGUCUCUUAUAC